UUUAUUAAUUUUAUAAUUCAAUGCCAAAAGUAUAUCCAUGAAUACAAAAAAUAACAGGUAACACGUGUUAACAAUAUAAAGUUUUGGUUGUGUUCUUUAUAGGUUUAAGGUUAACUUAAGCAAAUCUACUCGGUAUCGUAGAAGAAAGCGAGCUGCUACAGUUCUUACUGCUUCAAUGUAUUCAUCAUCUAGUUCUAGUAAUGAGUAUAAUAAUGAUUUUCAUCAAAACCCACUUCCUCAUAUUGCAUUUCCAUCAAAUUCAGAAAUGUAUGAACGUUGUUCAUCACCUGCAAUAGUACACACACAGGAAGAAGUAACUUUAACUAAUGAUGAUGAAGAUUGUUGUGAACUAAGUUCUAGCUCUAGUUCUUAUGAUGAAAAACAAUUUAAUCCAGAAAUUGAUGAUGGGGUUAAUUUAACUAUUGCUAAAUGGGCCAUUCGAAAUAAUAUUACUCACAUGGCUUUAGACGAUCUGCUCAAAAAUUUAUCAAAGCAUCCACAAUUUAAGGAAUUACCCAUAGAUUCUCGAACAUUAUUAAAAACCCCCACCAAAACUAUUAUUAAAGAAAUCAAAGGGGGUAGUUACUAUCAUUUUGGAAUCUUUGAUCAAAUUGAACAUUUGAUAAAAUCUGGUACUUCGCUUCCUUCAGUACUCAUGCUAAUGGUUGGAAUAGACGGAUUACCCAUCACAAAAAAUCCUCCUAGUCAAUUAUGGCCUAUUUUAGGGUAUUUUUCAAAUAUCUCUGACUCUAGUGUUUUCAUUAUUGGUUCAUAUUAUGGUAAACCAAAACCAGAAGACAGUAACGAAUUUUUAAGUGAUUUUGUAAAUGAAAUUUGUGUGCUGAUUAAUGAUGGUGUGAUGUAUAAUAAUAUUCAUGUAAAACUUCAUCUAAAAGCUCUUAUAUGUGAUGCCCCAGCAAAAUCGUUUGCAUUAAAUUUUAAGGGACACAGCCAUGGCUGUCCCACUGCCAAAUAUUCCUCCGGCUUUCAUUGGUAUCUUACCAGUAAAAACAAUGGAUGAGCUGAAAACUGUAGAGACACUAUUAUCUGAUGGUAACGAAGAAGCAAAUAAAUAUAAAGAAGAACUGAAGUUCUAUUUGCUGAUGAAAGUUGGUGGGAUGUCAUUUAACACUGCGAUUAAGAAAACAAUUGACUGUUGUUUUGAAAAGGAAUUGCU